UGAAGAAGGCCUUUGGGUUGUAAAACUCUUUCGUCGGGGAAGAAAAUGACUGUACCCGAAUAAGAAGGUCCGGCUAACUUCGUGCCAGCAGCCGCGGUAAUACGAAGGGACCUAGCGUAGUUCGGAAUUACUGGGCUUAAAGAGCUCGUAGGUGGUUAAAAAAGUUGAUGGUGAAAUCCCAAGGCUUAACCUUGGAACUGCCAUCAAAACUUUUUAGCUAGAGUGUGAUAGAGGUAAGUGGAAUUUCUAGUGUAGAGGUGAAAUUCGUAGAUAUUAGAAAGAACACCAAAUGCGAAGGCAACUUACUGGAUCACUACUGACACUGAGGAGCGAAAGCAUGGGUAGCGAAGAGGAUUAGAUACCCUCGUAGUCCAUGCCGUAAACGAUGUGUGCUAGACGUUGGAAAUAUAUUUUUCAGUGUCGCAGCGAAA
rnacentral:rRNA from 1 species